rnacentral:rRNA from 1 species
GAUGAACGCUAGCGGGAGGCUUAACACAUGCAAGUCGAGCGGUAGGGCAGCAAUGCCUGAGAGCGGCGCACGGGUGCGUAACGCGUAUGCAACCUGCCUUAUACAGGGGAAUAGCCCAUGGAAACGUGGAUUAAUGUCCCAUAGGAUUACGGAUUCGCAUGGAUUUGUGAUUAAAACUGAGGUGGUAUAAGAUGGGCAUGCGUCUGAUUAGGUAGAUGGUAGGGUAAUGGCCUACCAAGCCGACGAUCAGUAGGGGUUCUGAGAGGAUUACCCCCCACACUGGUACUGAGACACGGACCAGACUCCUACGGGAGGCAGCAGUGAGGAAUAUUGGUCAAUGGCCGGAAGGCUGAACCAGCCAUCCCGCGUGCAGGAUGACGGCCCUAUGGGUUGUAAACUGCUUUUGUACCUGAAGAAACCUGUUUACGAGUAGACAGUUGCCGGUAAGGUAUGAAUAAGCAUCGGCUAACUCCGUACCAGCCGCCGCUGUAAGAC